rnacentral:rRNA from 1 species
AUUGAACGCUGGCGGCAGGCCUAACACAUGCAAGUCGAUCGGUAACAGGAAGAAGCUUGCUUCUUUGCUGACGAGUGGCGGACGGGUGAGUAAUGUCUGGGAAACUGCCUGAUGGAGGGGGAUAACUACUGGAAACGGUAGCUAAUACCGCAUAACGUCGCAAGACCAAAGAGGGGGACCUUCGGGCCUCUUGCCAUCGGAUGUGCCCAGAUGGGAUUAGCUAGUAGGUGGGGUAACGGCUCACCUAGGCGACGAUCCCUAGCUGGUCUGAGAGGAUGACCAGCCACACUGGAACUGAGACACGGUCCAGACUCCUAAGGGAGGCAGCAGUGGGGAAUAUUGCACAAUGGGCGCAAGCCUGAUGCAGCCAUGCCGCGUGUAUGAAGAAGGCCUUCGGGUUGUAAAGUACUUUCAGCGGGGAGGAAGGGAGUAAAGUUAAUACCUUUGCUCAUUGACGUUACCCGCAGAAGAAGCACCGGCUAACUCCGUG